rnacentral:rRNA from 1 species
GAUGAACGCUGGCGGCGUGCCUAAUACAUGCAAGUCGAGCGAACAGACGAGGAGCUUGCUCCUCUGACGUUAGCGGCGGACGGGUGAGUAACACGUGGAUAACCUACCUAUAAGACUGGGAUAACUUCGGGAAACCGGAGCUAAUACCGGAUAAUAUAUUGAACCGCAUGGUUCAAUAGUGAAAGACGGUUUUGCUGUCACUUAUAGAUGGAUCCGCGCCGCAUUAGAUAGUUGGUAAGGUAACGGCUUACCAAGGCAACGAUGCGUAGCCGACCUGAGAGGGUGAUCGGCCACAUUGGAACUGAGACACGGUCCAGACUCCUACGGGAGGCAGCAGUAGGGAAUCUUCCGCAAUGGGCGAAAGCCUGACGCAGCAACGCCGCGUGAGUGAUGAAGGUCUUCGGAUCGUAAAACUCUGUUAUUAGGGAAGAACAAAUGUGUAAGUAACUAUGCACGUCUUGACGGUACCUAAUCAGAAAGCCACGGCUAACUACGUG